CUCCGGGUGAUCCUGCCGGACCUGACUGCUAUCGGAUUGGUACUAAGCCAUGCGAGUCAUUGUAGCAAUACAAGGCGGACGGCUCAGUAACACGUAGUCAACCUAACUCGUGGACGUGGAUAACCUCGGGAAACUGAGAAUAAACCACGAUAGAUCAUAGUGCCUGGAAUGGCUUAUGGUCCAAACAGUUUACUGCCAUGGGAUGGGACUGCGGCCUAUCAGCUUGUUGGUGAGGUAAUGGCCCACCAAGGCGAUUACAGGUACGGGCUCUGAGAGGAGAAGCCCGGAGAUGGGUACUGAGACACGGACCCAGGCCCUAUGGGGCGCAGCAGGCGAGAAACCUUAGCAAUGUGCGAAAGCACGACUGGGUCAGUCCGAGUGAUUCCUGAUAAAGGAGUCUUUUGCUUGUCCUAAAAGCACAGGUGAAUAAGGGGUGGGCAAGUCUGGUGUCAGCCGCCGCGGUAAUACCAGCACCUCGAGUGGUCAGGACGUUUAUUGGGCCUAAAGCAUCCGUAGCCGGCUCUGCAAGUCUUCGGUUAAAUCCACCUGCUCAACAGAUGGGCUGCUGGAGAUACUACAGAGCUAGGGAGUGGGAGAGGCAGACGGUAUUCAGUGGGUAGGGGUAAAAUCCUCUGAUCCAUUGAGGACCACCAGUGGCGAAGGCGGUCUGCCAGAACACGUUCGACGGUGAGGGAUGAAAGCUGGGGGAGCAAACCGGAUUAGAUACCCGGGUAGUCCCAGCUGUAAACGAUGCAAACUCGGUGAUGCAUUGGCUUAUGGCCAAUGCAGUGCCGCAGGGAAGCCGUUAAGUUUGCCGCCUGGGAAGUACGGACGCAAGUCUGAAACUUAAAGGAAUUGGCGGGGGAGCA
rnacentral:rRNA from 1 species